UACAGAGGUCCCAAGCGUUGUUCGGAUUCAUUGGGCGUAAAGGGUGCGUAGGCGGCGCGGUAAGUCGGGUGUGAAAUCUCGGGGCUUAACUCCGAAACUGCAUUCGAUACUGGCGUGCUUGAGGACUGGAGAGGAGACUGGAAUUCAUGGUGUAGCAGUGAAAUGCGUGGAGAUCAUGAGGAAGACCAGUGGCGAAGGCGGGUCUCUGGACAGUUCCUGACACUGAGACACGAAGGCCAGGGGAGCAAACGGG
rnacentral:rRNA from 1 species